CUACAGAGAAAAAGAAAGAGAAGCUCAGAAGUAUAAAAUAAGUCUCAAGAAGCAAACUCAAGUGUGAAUUAUCCUGAAUAUCGUUACCUUGGCAGGAUGGCUUCUACCAAAACAAUGUUCGUCUUCUUCUGCUUGUUAGCUGUUGGUCUGGGCCAGCUGAUCACUCAGGGGCAAGUUUGUCAAAUGCAAUGUCUGGAUGACGUGAAGAAAUAUGUGACCGACGAAUCCAAGACUGACUUCCAAAACGGAUGUGUCCAGUAUUGCCGUCACCACGCGUAUGACGAUUUGUUGGCCAGCAUAGGACCCUUAGGACGAUGAAACAUCUGAGUGAUGCAGCAGAAACUUGUCAAUGAUUACAUGGAGCAAAGAUACCUGAGAAUAAUUUAUUUUUUUUAAGUUGAAAUCUUAUAAGAAAUUGUGGUCUGCUUGUUUCUCCAAUGAGCGUCCAAUUCAUCUGCUGAUCCCGUGUC